GGAGAGUCAACAUUAGUAGGCUAGCAUAGUACAAGCAACUAAAUCCCUUUAUUAUUUAUUGAGUAGAUAAAGUUACACUGAAUACCUGUCUUGAACAAAACUACAUAAGGAGAGAUCCUUGAAUUUUCGCAAGUAUCUUUAUAGAGAUACUUUGGAUUAGAUGCUUUGCUAACUAGGCCGAAUAAGAAUAAUAUUGGAUCAUAGGGAUCUACUUGAUACCCUAAAUGCAUUGAAAAUAUGCACAAAUUAUUUUGUGGCUCUGCACAAGCAGACAGAUGACCAAAAACACAAGUGCCAAAAACAACGCCAGUCCGAAUACGGAAUACA